CUGAGAGAGAAUGACCCCACCUCUUACGAACAAUGUGAGGUUAUGCCUCAGGACUCUGCUACAAUAACUGUAGUCUAGCGCUGGGCUUAAACCUCAAUUGGAAGUACUGGUAUCUUCAAAGCUUAAUACAUCCAUUGACUUAAGAGUCACAAUUAACAGAGUAUGGGGUUUUCCUUCUACUUAAAAAAACAAUGCUUACUGGGCAAGGGGCAGACAGUCUGGCCUUGAGAAUCAGAAAUGGCGGGUUAAAGAAUCUUUUAUGGAGCUCCAACUCCCCUGCACUGUCUGAGUCUCACUCAGCUAUUGGUUUAACUGAUAAGGUGUUUAUGCAACUGAACUCUAUGUUAAUUACUCCUAUGCACACAGUUAUGGUUCAUGUUAUACAUAAAGGACACUGUGUACUUUGUUUAUACAGUUGAUUUUUGAUUGUAAAUUCUUUUUAAAUUUA
rnacentral:lncRNA from 1 species